rnacentral:ncRNA from 1 species
UCCCUGCUUUUCCUCCCUGAGCAGGUGCCUUAGCGUGAUGACAGCGAUAAGGCUUGCAAGCCCCGGCCGCAUGGCCGGGGCUCCUUUUUUU